UUUUAGGGAGACCUACCCAUUUUAGAUUGUAAAUUUUGGAUUUUGGAUUUUUUGAAUAGAAUCUAAAAUCGGAAAUAAAAAAUCCAAAAUAGUGUCAUUCCUAGGUCGUUCGAGAAUUGGCUUUGGCUUCAAACUAUUAUCCGAUUCGGAUUAAUAAAAAAUUACAACAAGUAAGCAGAUAUACAGACAGCAACUAAAGUUAGUGAUAUAACUAAGCCUGCUGGAUGUAUGUCCAGUAAAGAACCUUGAAAACUGCAUAGUGACGCAAAUUGUAGGCAGUAACCGUGUUGAGUUUAAUUACUAAAGUAAUUAUUACAAAAAAGGCACGGGUAUUGAAUUACAGACAAAUCCUUUGAAUUGAUUAAAUU
rnacentral:misc_RNA from 1 species